rnacentral:rRNA from 1 species
CGGGGGGCAGCACCAGUGGGGAAUAUUGCACAAUGGAGGAAACUCUGAUGCAGCAACGCCGCGUGGAGGAUGACACUUUUCGGAGCGUAAACUCCUUUUAUAUAGGAAGAAGAUGACGGUACUAUAUGAAUAAGCGCCGGCUAACUCCGUGCCAGCAGCCGCGGUAAUACGGAGGGCGCAAGCGUUACUCGGAAUCACUGGGCGUAAAGAGCGUGUAGGCGGAUUAAAAAGUCAGAAGUGAAAUCCUAUAGCUUAACUAUAGAACUGCUUCUGAAACUCUUAAUCUAGAAUAUGGGAGAGGUAGAUGGAAUUUCUGGUGUAGUGGUAAAAUCCGUAGAGAUCAGAAGGAAUACCGAUUGCGAAGGCGAUCUACUAGAACAUUAUUGACGCUGAGACGCGAAAGCGUGGGGAGCAAACAGGAUUAGAUACCCGGGUAGUC